GUCGAGGGGCAGCGGAGAGGUAGCAAUACCUUUGCCGGCGACCGGCGCACGGGUGAGUAACACGUAUGCAAUCCACCUGUAACAGGGGGAUAACCCGGAGAAAUCCGGACUAAUACCCCAUAAUAUGGGUUCUCCGCAUGGAGGGUCCAUUAAAGAGAGCAAUUUUGGUUACAGACGAGCAUGCGCUCCAUUAGCCAGUUGGCGGGGUAACGGCCCACCAAAGCGACGAUGGAUAGGGGUUCUGAGAGGAAGGUCCCCCACAUUGGAACUGAGACACGGUCCAAACUCCUACGGGAGGCAGCAGUGAGGAAUAUUGGUCAAUGGUCGGCAGACUGAACCAGCCAAGUCGCGUGAGGGAAGACGGCCCUACGGGUUGUAAACCUCUUUUGUCGGAGAGUAAAGUACGCUACGUGUAGCGUAUUGCAAGUAUCCGAAGAAAAAGCAUCGGCUAACUCCGUGCCAGCAGCCGCGGUAAUACGGAGGAUGCAAGUGUUAUCCGGAUUUAUUGGGUUUAAAGGGUGCGUAGGCGGCACGCCAAGUCAGCGGUGAAAUUUCCGGGCUCAACCCGGACUGUGCCGUUGAAACUGGCGAGCUAGAGUGCACAAGAGGCAGGCGGAAUGCGUGGUGUAGCGGUGAAAUGCAUAGAUAUCACGCAGAACCCCGAUUGCGAAGGCAGCCUGCUAGGGUGCGACAGACGCUGAGGCACGAAAGCGUGGGUAUCGAACAGGAUUAGAUACCCUGGUAGUC
rnacentral:rRNA from 1 species